UGAUCCCCUUCGGGGGUGACGCUUGUGGAAUGAGCGGCGGACGGGUGAGUAACACGUGGGCAACCUGCCUGUAAGACUGGGAUAACCCCGGGAAACCGGGGCUAAUACCGGAUAAUACUUUCUUUUGCAUAAAGGAAAGUUGAAAGGCGGCUUCGGCUGUCACUUACAGAUGGGCCCGCGGCGCAUUAGCUAGUUGGUGAGGUAACGGCUCACCAAGGCGACGAUGCGUAGCCGACCUGAGAGGGUGAUCGGCCACACUGGGACUGAGACACGGCCCAGACUCCUACGGGAGGCAGCAGUAGGGAAUCUUCCGCAAUGGACGAAAGUCUGACGGAGCAACGCCGCGUGAGUGAUGAAGGUUUUCGGAUCGUAAAACUCUGUUGUUAGGGAAGAACAAGUUGGGUAGUAACUGACCCAACCUUGACGGUACCUAACCAGAAAGCCACGGCUAACUACGUGCCAGCAGCCGCGGUAAUACGUAGGUGGCAAGCGUUGUCCGGAAUUAUUGGGCGUAAAGCGCUCGCAGGCGGUCCUUUAAGUCUGAUGUGAAAUCUCGCGGCUCAACCGCGAACGGUCAUUGGAAACUGGAGGACUUGAGUACAGAAGAGGAGAGUGGAAUUCCACGUGUAGCGGUGAAAUGCGUAGAGAUGUGGAGGAACACCAGUGGCGAAGGCGACUCUCUGGUCUGUAACUGACGCUGAGGAGCGAAAGCGUGGGGAGCGAACAGGAUUAGAUACCCUGGUAGUCCACGCCGUAAACGAUGAGUGCUAGGUGGUUAGGGGGGUUUCCGCCCCUUAGUGCUGAAGUUAACGCAUUAAGCACUCCGCCUGGGGAGUACGGCCGCAAGGCUGAAACUCAAAAGAAUUGACGGGGGCCCGCACAAGCGGUGGAGCAUGUGGUUUAAUUCGAAGCAACGCGAAGAACCUUACCAGGUCUUGACAUCCUCUGCUAUUCCUAGAGAUAGG
rnacentral:rRNA from 1 species